AGCACCAGAUGUGGUAUCCCCUACGGCCCAACGAAAGAUAAAGAGCUGCAGAGCCAGCGAGAGGACAGAGGGUGAAGCGCAUUAAGGAGAAAUGUCUGGAGUUAUGAAACUCUAGGAACUGAGAGGGAGCCGAGGAACGCCGCUUCGCAGUGCUCCGAAGGGAGGCCGAGGCGCCAGGGCACACACAGCAAGACCAUCGGGAGCCUUGAGGUCAAGGGCCUCUUGGCCGAAGAGAAACAGCGGAUUGGUUUGGCAGAGGCUGAGGGGGGGCCGAGUCGCGACUCGGAGGGCGGGAAUGCGGCACAGCCCCUGCCCAUCCACGGUGCGGGUACCUUGGCUAGCAGAGUCCAUGUUCAGGCGGCAGCUGGGUGUAGCUGGCGUCGGUGCUGGGAUCGCAGGUCCUACAGGAGCCCAGCCCCGAGGACUGCAAGCUGGCAGCUUCGUACACACGAGCCAGUGGAACUGUAGGGCCGCAGUCGCUUACGUAAUCAGCGACGCGCCGCCUUCCUUCCGCUCGGGUUCGUACUCCGCCUUCUUCCCGCCCUCGGUGAAGUAGUGUCCAAUAAGAACGUCUUCUGGCCCCACCUAAGACAAAUCUUUCAAUUUGAUAGGUCAGACUGCAGCGAAGCAGGAAGCAAUGCUUCUAGUCUGGUUCCACAGUAAGAUUCUAGGGUGAAAAAGGGCAGAACAGCUGAAGCUCGAGGCAUGGGUGGUUCGGAUUGUGUUGCAGUUCGCCGACUUCCCACCUUUAACCUCGGCUGCCCACAAGACUUCUGACUUUGCACCUCGACAGGUCAAACUCAGGCCUAUGUACUCCCCAGUCCCCUGUCAACCUCUCCCCACCCCCUGUAAAUUCUUUUGGUUUUUGAGUCAGGUUGCUUGCAGCAAAGGACGACCUUGAAUUUACUGUGAUCUUCCUGCGUCCACCUACCUAGAGCUAGAAUUACAGGAGCAAACCAUCACAGCUGAUUUAUACCGUAUUGGGGAUCGAGAAUUCAGAGCUUAAUGCAUACUGGGCAAACAUUGUACCAAUUAACUUGCUUUUGCAACCUC
rnacentral:lncRNA from 1 species